AUUGAACGCUGGCGGCAUGCCUUACACAUGCAAGUCGAACGGCAGCACGGGGGCAACCCUGGUGGCGAGUGGCGAACGGGUGAGUAAUGCAUCGGAACGUACCCAGUUGAGGGGGAUAGCCCGGCGAAAGCCGGAUUAAUACCGCAUACGACCUGAGGGUGAAAGCGGGGGACCGAAAGGCCUCGCGCAGUUGGAGCGGCCGAUGUCGGAUUAGCUAGUUGGUGGGGUAAAGGCUUACCAAGGCGACGAUCCGUAGCUGGUCUGAGAGGACGACCAGCCACACUGGGACUGAGACACGGCCCAGACUCCUCCAGGAGGCAGCAGUGGGGAAUUUUGGACAAUGGGGGCAACCCUGAUCCAGCCAUGCCGCGUGCGGGAAGAAGGCCUUCGGGUUGUAAACCGCUUUUGUCAGGGAAGAAAUCUUCUGGGUUAAUACCUCGGGAGGAUGACGGUACCUGAAGAAUAAGCACCGGCUAACUACGUGCCAGCCGCCGCGGUAAGAC
rnacentral:rRNA from 1 species